AUUUACACCGGGGAAAACUGUGCACAACACCGGUUCUACACAACAAACAGAAACUUCGUCUUGAAAAUUGUUCUGUAAAUAGAAAUGUUGCAAUAUUUGUGGAGAUGAAGCUGGACUGUUUGGUUUUUGUUGGUGAUCGAUGAUCGUGUGAUAAAGAUGGCCAGCAACAGAGGCAAGAAUUUGGCCAAACGACGGGGGAAAACCCGAUUCUGGCUUCAAGACAGAAAAUCUGUGAACGAUGUCGACGGUUGGGGAAAACACGGUGGUUAUAUGAAUGCCAAGAAGAAGAAAUUGAACGACCAAUUCCAGUCCGUUGCCUUUAGUGAGUUACAGAAGACAAGCCAUUGUUCAGAUAUCUUCAAAGACGUAACAAUAUACAUUAAUGGUUAUACAAAACCAAGCAGUGAUGAGCUGAAACGAUUGAUGAUGAUCCAUGGAGGACAUUGGGAGAUGUACCUGAGCAAGAAGAACGUCACGCACAUAAUUACAACCAAUUUAGCUCAAAGCAAGAUUGCUGCCCUCAGGAAUUACAAAGUUGUUCACCCUGACUGGAUACUAAAGAGUAUUGAAGCUGAAAGAUUGCUACCAUGCCAACCAUUUCUGCUCUACUCAGCUCAGUCCAAGAUGCAAAGAGGAAUUGCACAGUUUUCCACUUCUCUCCCCAAGGCUGAGGCAUCGAAAGAGGGACCAACUCAUUUGGAGGCUUCUAGGGACUUUCAUCUGACAGAAACGUCAACACCAUCCAGCAACAACAACAACACUGAGGUAAAAGAGAGAAGUGGUCCCCCUGAGCUAAAGAUUGUCCACAGUGGAAGUUCUGAUGAUCUCUUCUUCUCCAGCUCAGACAACUUGUCUCAAGAAUCUAAUCAGGAAACGAAAUGUAAAACCAACAUCUCAACUAAAAAUGAGGUCUUAACAGAGGCUGUUUCUCUGUCUGCUGUAACCAAGGCAACGUCAAUGACAACAACAACGACAACGACAACGACAGUUACGCCUUCUGAAGAAUGUCCUACGUUGAUCGUCGUAUCCUCCGACUCUGAGAAAGAAGAUGAAAUUGUCGUUACUGAUCAUGUGAAGAAAGUUGACACAUUACCACCAAACAACAACAACAACGAUAGCAGCAUCAACACCACCACAACUUUAUCAACAAAUACAGGUGUCCAACACACGGGCAGUUCUCGAGCCCAAACUGCCCGGGAUCCAAACUACCUCCAGCAGUUUUACACCAACUCUCGACUCCAUCAUCUUUCCACCUGGAAGGCCGAAUGGAAAGAUUAUGUGAAUAAACUAAAGUCAUCGAAUACCAAGGAAUUUCCCGGAAGACAGAAACUAAAAGAUGUGUGCAGUAAGGUGCAGUCACCAUCACUUACAGAUUCCAUUAUGCACAUUGAUAUGGACUCCUUUUUUGUUGCUGUUGCAAUGAGAGAUCGUCCCCAUUUGAAAGAUAAGCCUGUAGCUGUGACCCAUAGUCGGAAAAAGGGGCCAAAGGAGAAUAAUCCUGGUGUAGACUUGGAUUACGAAAGACAGCAGUGGUCAAAACGCCGUCAAGAAAAUGCUUUGAAGAAAAUGGGACCGAAUACGUGUCAGAGAAACACUUUAGCUCUGGAUGAAGAAUUUGAAGAUGAAGAGGAAGGGAGUGAAGCAGAGGAAAAAGAUGAAGACCUCGAGAAUACUUCAAACGAGAAGAGACAUUCUGUUAAUAAGCAGAGUUUUAAUUCUUUGUCUGAGAUUGCUUCCUGUAACUACGUUGCUCGUCAAUUUGGCCUCAAGAAUGGAAUGUUUGUUGGAGAUGCUCUUAAACUUUGCCCAGACAUCAUAACCAUUCCCUAUGAAUUUGACAAAUACCAAGCAGUGUCGAAGAUCCUUUAUGAUACAGUUGCAAGCUAUACACAUGAUAUUGAAGCGAUCAGCUGUGACGAAAUGUUUGUUGACUGUCGUGGAAUUCUACAGGAAACUGGUGUGGCUCUGAAGGACUUCAUUUCUGUUCUCAGACAAGAAAUCUUUGAUAAAACUGGAUGUACAGCAUCGGCUGGCCUUGGUCCUAAUAUUUUGGUAGCAAGAUUGGCGACAAUCCGUGCCAAGCCAAACGGGCAGUUUCUUGUGGAAAAACGUGAAGUGGAGGCUUUCAUGCAGAAGCAACUUGUUAAAAGUCUGCCAGGUGUUGGUAGGUCUAUGAUGUACAAAUUACAGCACCUGAGUGUGGAGACAUGCGAGGACUUGCAGAAGAUUCCAUUGGUUAAGCUCCAGCAGAGUUUUGGUCAAAAAACAGGUCAGAUGUUAUAUAACAGCUGUCGAGGAAUCGAUAACCGCAGGCUGGAGUUGGAACAUAACAGGAAGUCAGUGUCAGCAGAGAUAAAUUAUGGCAUACGCUUCACUAAGGAAAGUGAUAUGGAGGAUUUCCUGUUAAAUCUGUCUGGAGAAGUGGAGAGAAGAUUGAAGAAUGUGAACAAACGGGGUAAAUCUAUAACCUUGAAGUUGAUGGUACGACGGGAAGAUGCACCCCUGGAGACGGCCAAGUAUAUGGGCCAUGGUUUAUGUAACAAUAUCAGUAGGGCUAUGAGUGUUGCCAUAGCUACAGACAAUGCUGCCAGAAUAGCCAGGGAGUGUAUGACGUUGUUUAAAGCCCUUCAUCUACCUGUGAACUCCCUACGAGGGGUUGGCAUUACCAUCCAACGUCUUGAAGACACGGCACCAGCCAGACACCACACUGGCGACUCUACAAAGACCUCAAGCAUUCUCCAGUUCACCAAAGCGAUGCCAACCCCAAAUCAGAAGGAGGAGGAGGAACAGCAGCAGCAGCAAACGCAGAACGGAAAUGAGACACAAUCCGAAGUUGAUGACAGUGACUUUGCAGUCAUGAGACCAGUUCCUGUCAAACAGUUUGGAACUCUUAAUUUCAAAGAAGAAUUGCUAAGGCAAUAUCACAGCAGCCAGUUACCUCCCUUGCCCAGGUUGCCCAGCCAGUUGAGUCCCACCAGAACGAACCAGAUGAAACCGGCUGUGACAGGUGAACCAGAAGAUUUCCUUCCAUCACCUUCCCAGGUUGACGAGAAUGUUCUGAAAGAACUUCCUGAUGACAUCUGCAAUCAAAUUAAAACUGCUCUCGAGGAAAAGAAGGCCAAAAGAAAAACAUCUGCUGCUUAUGGUAGUAGUAGUAGUAGUAGUGGUGGUGGUGGUGGUGCAUUGGCCCAUGAUGAACAACCAGGCUGUUCGUAUUGGUCUGAGACCACAAUUUCAGACGAGAACGGACAAGGGGCCGAUAGCAUGGAGGAACCAGUAAAGGAAAACCAGAAUUUAUCCCAAAUUGAAAGGGAAUUGUUACCUAAUUUAUCACAGCUUGAUGAGAGUUGCUUUAAUGCGUUGCCAGAGGAUAUACAAGAAGAGAUGAAGAUGGCCAUAACUGACCGACAGAACAGGAAAAACAACAUGGAAGCUGAUGACCAGCUGGAGCUACCGUUAUUAUUGUCACCGUCCAAAGGGGGCACCAUGAAAAAAUCACCCACGAAAAAAUCACCUACAAAAAAAUCAACGAAACCCACCAAGAAGAGGUCCCCUUCCAAGAAGGGAUCACCUUCAAAAAAGAGGUCCCCUGCCAAGAGGAGCCCUAAUUUCAAAGUUCCUCAGGGACGACCUAAGAAAAUUCAAAAAUCUUUGAAUAAUUUAUUGAAUAUCAGAAAAAACCUGUUCCUGUAUGGUGACCACCUCCACCUACAGACAAAGACAGAAGUGAGGGAAGCGGAAGGGGAGAAGACGGAGAAGGAACUGAAAGAAGCGAAAGAGAGGGAGAAGCACUUCCAGGCUGCGAGUCUGUGUGGUGCUGUGACGAUAGAACAAGUACGCAGCUUACUGAGUGAGUGGUUGCAACCGUCGCGGGCGCCCUGCCCUGAUGAUGAGCAGUUUGUGAUAAAGUACCUGAAAGAUCUCAUUUACAGUAAAAAUCUGGAACAGCUUGACUUGGUGUUGAAAUUCCUCUACAGAAAAAUGGGGAAACUUUCUACAGAAGAUUGGUGGAAAAGUCUGAAGAGAGUUGUUGAUGACGUCCAGUGUGUAAUGAUAGCAGAAUAUAACACCCCCCUACAGCUUAGUUUCUCUAUCCCUGUUACAUGACCAUCACUUGACCAUAACCUAUCUUGAGGCCUCGUCAUCAUUUGACCUUACUCAUGUCAUCACCUGACCAUCGCUUCACUGUCAUGUGACUAUUUGGUAACUUGUCAGGUGACCAUCACUUUACCAUCAUAUGACCAUUAGCUGAGUGUAAGGUAAUUCAUCACCUAACCAUUGAGUGACCAUCACUUUACCAUCAUGCGAUCAUCUUGUGACCAUCACUCUGCCAUCAGGUGGUCAUCAUUUUACUACAGGCUGACCAUCUUGUGACCAUCACUUUGCCUUCAGGACUCUAUCACUUUACCAUUGUGUGACCAUAAGAUGACCUUAAGGUAACCAUCAUGUGAAAUUCUGGAGACCAUCAUUUAAUCAUGUGAUUAUAAAUUGACCACAAGGUGAUCAUCACUUCAUUGCUGAGCAACUGUUGGCUGACCACCACAUGACCAUCACUUUAUCAUUGUGUAACCAUACUGUGACCAUCACUUCAUCACUGAGUGGCCAUUGGCUGACCAUCAUGUAACCGUUGUAUAACCAUAUGAAAUUCUGGUGACCAUCACUUCACCAUCCAGUAACAUUAAGCUGACCAUCACCUGACCAUAAGACCAUCGCUAUACCAUCGUAAUAUGUUGACUAUAAGAUGGUCAUCACCUCACCAUUCAGUGGCUAUUGCCUGACUAUCAUGCAACUAUCUGGUGAUUAUGCAACCAUCUGGUGACCAGUAGCUGACCAUCAGUUCAUCCAAUAACCAUUACCUGACCAUCAUGCAACCAUCAGGCGAUCCUCAAGUGACCAGUACAGUAAAAGUGUUUUGAGAUGCGAAACAUCUUUUUCUUUUGUCUUUUGUAUAUAUUUUAAAACUUGAUUUUAUAUUUAAUUGUUUUUUCCCCCUCUAUUUUGAAGAUAAUUUUAAUGAAGCAAGAUUCGUUAACCUUAAUUGAUUAUUUUAAGACAAAUAUCAAACCUGAAGAGCUCUUGUUUGCCUUUCACAAUGGUUGCCACCACCAAACAAGUACAAUAAUACCACCACCACAGCCAACAACAACAACAAUAAUAUUACCAUCAAAACUCAACCACUAACAAUAUUACCAUCACUUCCACUGCCAACAAUACCAACAACAGCACCAUUAUCACCACCACCAACAACAACAACA
rnacentral:misc_RNA from 1 species